rnacentral:lncRNA from 1 species
UGCCACUUUGGACUCUUCUACAUUUGGGGGUGGGGAGUGUGCACUGCACACAGGCAAACUUUACUAAAGUUAGAUGAAGUGUUCCCUUCCCUCCAACUCUUGUGCAUAUGACUCCUUGUAUAUUCCCUCUCUUAUGAAAAAGAAACACUGUAGUAACUAAGAGCGUGAAAUUCCAUAAAUUUUACAGCUAAAGAGAAUGGUUGUGAUAAAUACACUGAAACAACAAAAUCAGCGACAUGAGUCUGAGCGGUGACAAGCAGCGGUGUGACAUCUGGCGGAAGCUAAAGUCACAGUAAGGGGGAGAGAGGUGGGCGUGAGGAAGCAUCCUGCCAAGCGUGGACACAGAAAAAUAGCACUGAGAGGAUUUCAUGAAAAUGCAAUUUACAGACUUAGAUGGGAUAGAAAACCUCAACUAGUUUACCCAGUAUCCCUUUUACAAAUGUGGGGACUAAACUUCAAAGAGGAAACAGUAACUUGCCCUAAACCACACAGGUAAUUAGCAUCAAGGGUCAGGUCCAGAAUUCAGGCCUCCCAACUGCAAGUCCUACAUGCUUUUCCAGGAAAUCAUGCUGCCUCCACAAAAUGGAAAUUAGUGUAAAAAUAUGAUUUGGUAUGUAAAUGCAGUUUCACACUCAUAUAUUUCAGAAUGCACUAUUUUGCAUACUAGCAUCUACUGCUCUCUAUUUCACUUAUCAC